rnacentral:lncRNA from 1 species
ACAUCAUAUGUGCGCGUGCGUGCGGAGGGGACGUACGCGCUAUGUGCACGUCCCAUGUGUGCAUCCGCACUAUGUGCAUGUCCCGUGCGUGUGUGCGUUCGAAGGAGAUGUGCGCGUUGUGUGCAUGUCCCAUGCAUUCUGGCAUACGAAUGGGGCUUGCACGCUAUUCGCACUGCCCACGGCCACUGUGUGUGUUAUGCGCAUGCCCCACAGCCACUACGUGCGCUGUGCGCACACCCACGGCCACUGUGCGCAUUGCUCGCGGCCACUAUGCGGGCAUGUGCACGUGUACAGUGCCCAACACUCUUGUUGGUAAACCUGGUUUCCACAGGAUUUUUCGCUGCGAACUUGUUUUCUCCUGUUUCGCCAUUUUUUGAUUUU